rnacentral:rRNA from 1 species
UACGUAGGGGGCAAGCGUUAUCCGGAAUUAUUGGGCGUAAAGAGUGCGUAGGCGGUUUUAUAAGCGUGAGGUGAAAGGCAAUGGCUCAACCAUUGUAAGCCUUGCGAACUGUAAGGCUUGAGUGCAGGAGAGGAAAGCGGAAUUCCUAGUGUAGCGGUGAAAUGCGUAGAUAUUAGGAGGAACACCAGUGGCGAAGGCGGCUUUCUGGACUGUAACUGACGCUGAGGCACGAAAGCGUGGGGAGCGAACA